rnacentral:lncRNA from 1 species
GUACAUCUGAUCGAGAUACAAGGUAGCUUUCGGCGAGUGUGUCAACAAGACGAAGCUCCGUUGAGUCUUGUCCCUUUCUGUGUUCUCGCUUGUUCUGUUUCGUCUUUUCUGUGCGUUAUUUCUCUCGUUUCGCAGACCCUUUUAUUUCACAGGCUGUCUCUUCUCUGUGCCGUCCGUCUCGACUUUUUCGCAUAAGUUCGAAUUUUUUGAUUUAUUCCAGCUCGUUCAGAGGUUCCUGGGGCCUUCUUGCGUUUGCUUGUGUACACUUCUUCACUUCUCCCUCGGCUUUUCCAUGUUUUUCUGCAUCUUUCUCUGCAUGCUUUGUCGAAAAAAAGUCAUCACUACAGAGCUGAAGGACCCAGGUCACGUUCCACUCUCUGUUCUCUGAGACUGCGUUCAGCUGUAAGCGGGGUCUCCUACAGUUUUCUCCGCGUGUAUUUAUGUGGAGAACGGAG